UCUUCAUGUUCAUGGUACAGAGGAAGGGUCAAACUACCACCUGGUCAUAAAACUAUACUCCUGGAAAUGUCAAAGACUCCUAGGAAAGCCUUGCCAAAUAUGUGUUUCUUUAGGUUCAGGGUACAGAGGAAGGGUCAAACUACCACCUGGUCAUAAAACUAUACUCCUGGAAAUGUCAAAGACUCCUAGGAAAGCCUUGCCAAAUAUGUGUUUCUUUAGGUUCAGGGUACAGAGGAAGGGUCAAACUACCACCUGGUCAUAAAACUAUACUCCUGGAAAUGUCAAAGACUCCUAGGAAAGCCUUGCCAAAUAUGUGUUUCUUUAGGUUCAGGGUACAGAGGAAGGGUCAAACUACCACCUGGUCAUAAAACUAUACUCCUGGAAAUGUCAAAGACUCCUAGGAAAGCCUUGCCAAAUAUGUGUUUCUUUAGGUUCAGGGUACAGAGGAAGGGUCAAACUACCACC